rnacentral:rRNA from 1 species
UGCUGGUUCUCCCCGAAAUGCAUUUAGGUGCAGCGUCACGCGUUUCUUGCCGGAGGUAGAGCUACUGGAUGGUCUAGGGGGCUUACCAGCUUACCGAAAUCAGCCAAACUCCGAAUGCCGGUCAAGUGAGAGCGUGGCAGUGAGACUGCGGGGGAUAAGCUUCGUAGUCGAAAGGGAAACAGCCCAGAACACCAACUAAGGCCCCCAAGCGUAUGCUAAGUGGGAAAGGAUGUGGAGUCGCAUAGACAACCAGGAGGUUGGCUUAGAAGCAGCCACCCUUGAAAGAGUGCGUAAUAGCUCACUGGUCAAGUGAUUCCGCGCCGACAAUGUAGCGGGGCUCAAGCACACCACCGAAGCUGUGGCAUUGACACUUUGCCCGGCCAUGUCCUUCGGGGCAUGGUCCAAGCGUGUUGAUGGGUAGGGGAGCGUCGUGUGGCGAGUGAAGCGGCGGAGUGAUCCAGCCGUGGACGCCACACGAGUGAGAAUGCAGGCAUGAGUAGCGAAUGACGGGUGAGAAACCCGUCCGCCGAAUAUCCAAGGGUUCCAGGGUCAAGCUAAUCUGCCCUGGGUGAGUCGGGACCUAAGGCGAGGCCGACAGGCGUAGUCGAUGGACAACCAGUUGAUAUUCUGGUACCGGCGAAGCAACGUCCGUGCCGAGUCCGGUGAUACUAAGCAUGCGAGAUCCCUUGUCCGGCCUUCGGGUUGGUGGGGGGUUGAGUCUGUGACCUGAGCUGGUAGUAGGCAAGCUGCGGAGGGACGCAGGAAGGUAGCCCAUCCCGGGCGGUGGUUGUCCCGGGCUAAGAGUGUAGGCCGACACGUUGGCAAAUCCGCGUGUCAUAUAGGGUUGAGACUUGAUGGCACUCAAUGCUUCGGUGUUGGGUGUGGGUGAUCCUAGGCUGCCUAGAAAAGCUUCGUGAGCGAGUUGUGAGCCGCCCGUACCCCAAACCGACACAGGUGGAUAGGUAGAGAAUACCGAGGCGAUCGAGAGAAUCGUGGUGAAGGAACUCGGCAAAAUACCCCCGUAACUUCGGGAUAAGGGGGACCUGAUCCGUGUACCCACUGGCUGGGGAAGCGGUGAGGGUCGCAGAGACCAGGCCCAAGCGACUGUUUACUAAAAACACAGGUCCGUGCGAAGUCGCAAGACGAUGUAUACGGACUGACGCCUGCCCGGUGCUGGAACGUUAAGGGGACGGGUUAGCGACUUCGGUCGCGAAGCUCAGAACUUAAGCGCCAGUAAACGGCGGUGGUAACUAUAACCAUCCUAAGGUAGCGAAAUUCCUUGUCGGGUAAGUUCCGACCUGCACGAAUGGCGUAACGACUUGGGCGCUGUCUCAACCACAGACUCGGCGAAAUUGCA